rnacentral:rRNA from 1 species
CCUACGGGAGGCAGCAGUAGGGAAUAUUGGUCAAUGGGCGAGAGCCUGAACCAGCCAUGCCGCGUGCAGGAAGAAGGCCCUCUGGGUUGUAAACUGCUUUUGACAGGGGCCAAAAUACUCAUGCGUGAGGAAUUGAGAGUAUAGAAUAAGCACCGGCUAACUCCGUGCCAGCAGCCGCGGUAAUACGGAGGGUGCAAGCGUUGUCCGGAUUUAUUGGGUUUAAAGGGUGCGUAGGUGGCCUUAUAAGUCAGUGGUGAAAGCCUGCAGCUUAACUGUAGGACUGCCAUUGAUACUGUAGGGCUUGAGUACUGAUGAGGUAGGCGGAAUUGAUAGUGUAGCGGUGAAAUGCAUAGAUAUUAUCAAGAACACCGAUUGCGAAGGCAGCUUACUAAGGAGUUACUGACACUGAGGCACGAAAGCGUGGGGAUCAAACAGGAUUAGAUACCCUGGUAGUCCACGCCAUAAACGAUGAUUACUCGAUGUAUGCGAUAGAUAGUAUGNGUCCAAGCGAAAGCGUUAAGUAAUCCACCUGGGGAGUACGACCGCAAGGUUGAAACUUAAAUGAAUUGACGG